rnacentral:rRNA from 1 species
CCUACGGGUGGCUGCAGUGAGGAAUAUUGGUCAAUGGGCGUAAGCCUGAACCAGCCAAGUCGCGUGAGGGAUGAAGGUUCUAUGGAUCGUAAACCUCUUUUAUAAAGGAAUAAAGUGCGGGACGUGUCCCGUUUUGUAUGUACUUUAUGAAUAAGGAUCGGCUAACUCCGUGCCAGCAGCCGCGGUAAUACGGAGGAUCCGAGGGUUAUCCGGAUUUAUUGGGUUUAAAGGGUGCGUAGGUGGCCUUUUAAGUCAGUGGUGAAAGUUGGUGGCUCAACCAUAGAAUUGCAGUUGAUACUGGGAGGCUUGAGUAUAUUUGAGGCAGGCGGAAUGCGUGGUGUAGCGGUGAAAUGCUUAGAUAUCACGCAGAACCCCGAUUGCGAAGGCAGCCUGCCAAGCCGUGACUGACGCUGAUGCACGAAAGCGUGGGGAUCAAACAGGAUUAGAUACCCGAGUAGUC